rnacentral:lncRNA from 1 species
CCCUCCUGGAAGAUGCCCAUUCAUUAACAAACCUCUACAGCUACCCUGUGCCAAUUAAAAAGUGUUAAAGACGCAAACCCAUACACCGAGCUUGCUGGCACCAAAUUGGGUUACCUUUUUGCAUACAGCCAGGCAUUGAACCCAAAACAUGACAGCAUUGUAUUAUUGCAAUUAAAAUAAAUGUGCGGAUUUUCACAUUGUCACAACUGGAAGGCUGGAGUUCUUGCUAAAUGGUGCUCUUUCCUCUGACAAGGAAGAUCUAAGAGUAGAGCAGGCAUUUCAGCCAACCAGCAUGCACGCCACAGCACCACCCAGUGAACAUGCCUGGCAGUUCACCCCCAGUUCUGAAACACUGAGCUGUGCUUUGUGAGCGCUAACCCAGGCACACUUGCUCCAUGUGAGGAAAGCGUCUCUGUCUUAUAGGGCAGUGCUAUUUUAUACACACAUGUAUCACCUUAAGAUCACCCACUCUCUAGCAUGCAGACAAACACAUGCAUCUUUCACCCCUUUCAUAAAUAAUCAGUGGUGUGUAGUUUGACAGCCUUGUGCUUCGAGCAUUGGGAGCAGUUGGUUUUUAGAAUGUCUGAAUAAUCCAUCCUACCUGAAGUGUGCUCGACUACUAAGCAAACUUGCCACAGCGGCCACCCGGAAGCCAUGCCUGGAAGUUCACCUCCAAUUCUGAACCACUGAGCAAUGCAUUCUAGGUAUGCAAACUAGCUCAAAAGCAGAUGUCUGAGGUCUCGAGAAGAUCUGAUAGCAGUUGUUUAAAUGCAUUUUCUAUGUCGUAGCUUUCUUGGUGGAUUUCGAAUGAUUUGAUAAAUUACUCUCUUGUUUUUUUUCUGUAGGCAACAGCAUGGUCCAUGGGUGCUGCGCUUGACUGUCCUGCUUUUUGGGUGUGUGCUCACAGGUUGUAAUUCAGCAGUCCACGCAGGUUGCGCUCGACUGUUCUGCUUUAGAAUCUCCUUUGGGUGAGGCAGUAGGUUGUAAUUCUGCGGUCUACAGAAGCUGCGCUUAGCUGUCACGUUUGAGACUGUGCUUUGUGGGUGGCUAGUGUGUUGUAAUUCCGUGAUCUAUGUACAUUUCCUUCAACUGUCCUGUUUUAAACUUUCUUUUGAGGGAGAGAUUUUAGGUUUAAGUUCAGCGGUCGACGGAAGCUGCACUCCUGUGUCCUGUUUCAGACUGUCCUUUGGGGUGAGGUAGUAGGUUGUAUAGUUUUAGGGGCACCCCCUGUCUGUCAGAUAACUAUACAAUCUACUGUCUUUCCUGAAGUGGCUGUGAUAUCCGCACCAAGACACCGUGCUUACCCAGACCAACAAAGCACGAACGGGAGACCAUCAAGCACAAUGAGCUUUACAGGCAGAAACAUGGGAGUCUUUGGAAAUCAAAUGAGAACUGUGUCUAAAACUCAAGUACUGUACAUGGGCAAACCGGUUCAAGACACGACUCACUACCAUAACAGUGCCUACAAUGCUGUAUAUUGUGAUGACCAUUGUAAAUAAAAGCUUGUAUUAUGCUUAAACAAAGAUAUUCCAUAUAACUAACUUGUUUCGUAAAAACACACUGUCUAGCCUCCUGUCCCAGCAUGUAAAUAGGCUCAGAGUCGACGCCUUUAUUCCACUAAUAGGAAGUGAGGGACGUGUUUAGAGAAGGGGUCUGCAACCUUUGGCUCUGCACAUGUUUUGGACUACAAACUCCAAAGCUCCCUCACCAUUGACUAUGCGGGCUAGGGCUGAAGGAAUUCUGAUCCAAAACAGGCAAAAGUUAGAGACCCAUGUUUUAGAGGCAUGCUAUUAAUGCUUGUAAAGACCAGUGUCAUGGCUUCGUAGCCUGCCAUGGCUUUGCCAUGGUCCGAAAAGCCCAGUGCAAGCCGAGAAGACUAGCUCUCGUAGUUAUCCCCACAAUAAGCAAGUGGGUCAUUUUACAGUCUUAGGCUUAUCUUUGUGAGAUUUCAUCAUUUACACUAUUACACAAGACGAGUUUAACAACUAAAAGGGAAGGAAACACUGUGCCCAGGGCCGCUAAUUAUAAACUAUUAUCCCUCAGUUCGAUAGAUACAAACAAAUGAAUUGGCCCAAGAUAAAAAUUGGGGGUAGCAUGCAUGAUUUUAAGGCAUGAAAUAAUUUCAUGUACAUUAUUUUAUAUAUGGCACACUUCUCCCCAAGUGUUUUUCAGCGCAGACAUUAAUGACGCAGCAUCCCAUCUCUAUGUUCAGUGGAGUGUUCCGCUAUCCCAGAAUGCCCUGCAAAGCAUUCUUUUUAGCGUCACGUGGAUAAUUAGUUGUCUCAGGACCACAUUUUGUAUGUAUAGAUUGAUAUGACUGGUGAGUGCUGCAAUACGUGCCAAAGAGCAGUGUUUGUUUCACAGUCUUUUCUAAACCCACAGUGAAUUGAGAUUUGCACUUCUCAGCUCAAUGUAAUCAUCCUCAGAAGAUUAAAAUCCACUUCUGAAUCAGAGUAAAGGUGUUGUUGUAAAGAGCUUAAUUUUAACCUUUUUUUUAAUUACUUCAAAUCAAACGUGGGUAAAUGCUGUUGCUGCUUUUAAUAGAAAUAUCACAAAAUAGUCAUAUUUCGCAGAAUGACCCUACUGCGUAAUUCCCAACUUGUAAUUAAUUGCAGUGUUCUGUGGAGAAAGCAUUCGUCCAUUUGGGCUUUAUAUGUAUGUCUUAGUUUUGGCAUCGCUCCCCUUUAUCAAGACCUUGGGUCUGUCCACAUGCUUUGCUAAACAUUAAAACAUGGCAGCCAUUUUAUAGAUCUAAAUCUGAAUGCCUUUGUGGGACUAUUUUGCUAAUGACUUGUCAUGAAGGAGUAACCAGCUACCUCCCAGAAGCUGAACUAAAUGUGUCAUUGGUCUUGCGUUAGUAUCGGAAUCUGUCAGUUUGUUGGCCUGAUUGGUGACGGUGACCUGCAUCUUCCAAUGGGAUGCCAACAAACUGUUAAGUUUUAGCAUUUGCCGUCCGCUUAACUUCAGAAACUGGAGGGAUUGUACCUACUUGCUCAUCUGACAAUAGAUCACUUCAUUUGAUCUUCUAUAAGGAAUGAAAUACUUUGUUCAGAAAGAUUUUCCAUGCUCAAUGAAUCCCUUGAGAAAUUUUGGUUACCUUAAAUUCAUGUCACCAUUUUUAAGAAAUGUAAACUCAAAAAUAUACCCAACAAGGCAAGUUUGUGGUUAAUAAUAGGGCACAGAGCAAAGAAAAGGCAUUGGCAAAAUGUGCAACCUGAUUCGUUUGGAGGCAGCCGCAAAUGGUUAACCGGUUCAAGGAUUCUCAACAAUUUUACCAUAAUGUGUUCCUCCUGCACACUCUGGUCGGUGAAUGCGUGCUGCUUCCUUCUUUUCCCAAUUUCAGUGCUGUUGCUCCUGCUGUUUCUCAUGCUUUGAUAACCUGGGAUGUGUUCUGUAGUUGGUUUUUAACAGGGUGGGACAUGGUUUUCCAGAGCCUUUGUAUUGAGGUUAAACCCCCAUUCCCAGUAAAGAGCACUCAUGUCGUUCCUUGUUUAAAUGUCUCUGCAAGAAAGAGUUUAUUGUGAAAGGGCGUUAUCACAAUUGAAUGGUAAUACGUGGCAUUGUUGUACACUGGGGAAGGCAGCUGCUCCGGACUGAAUGGCGACGUUGUGCGAGAGCGGUCAUAUCUUAAUUGUAAAUAAUUGGCGAGCCAAUAAAGCACAUUCCUCUUUGAAGAAAUCGUCUGCAUAUCGUUCAGGGAAUACAGAGAGGAACCAAAACAAAGGCCUUUUUAAAGUGCAAAAAUAUAAAACUGCACCAGAAUGUCUUGACCAAAUGAAAUCUGAAAAACUCCUUGAAUAGGCAUGAAUUUGGAAUGUUUUGCUCCACAGGCUCAUUUGAGGGUGUCGGUUAAUAAAAAUAUGUAUAUUUGUAUUGGCUGAAUGAAAUAUGAUUAAAUUGAACAUAGGUUAAACCUGUCCAUUAGUGGUACCAAGAUCCAGUCAGUACUUUACUGGGUAAAACAUAUGCAGACCUCUUGAUUGUCUAUGGUCCAAGGCCAGCACUUUUCAUUCUUGAUGUCAUGAGUGGCGCACCCGCCACAAGAGCUGACCGGGAGUUGCCUGGCAUUAGGUGCCCCGAGGUGUCACAUUAUCCUAGUUCUACAUGAAUAAAAUCCUUCUGGCUGUUGUAUUGUUCAUGGGCCUCCAUUGUACCUCUGAAUGGCAUUAUACAGGGCAUGUCUGAGUGCAUUUUCUUUUCUGUUAAGGGCUCAUUGCACCCUACAUCAUUGAGCAAGUGGGCAGAGUAUGUGCUAUAUUUCCAUGACGGGACACGGCCACAGCAGCCUUCUACGUACACCAGCACUUCAAUGGCCUCCUUUGGCAGAAGGAGGACUGCAACUGGACCGCACUUCCCCUUCCGGGAGCACUGUACACUGUACAAUUUGUACAAACCGGCCAUGAACUUUCAAAAACUCUGACCCACUUUCAAAAAGUUGUUUUUGUUCUUUGCGACAUUAAAGUAGGCGUGAAGAGUGUCGCUACGGCGUUUUGCCCCGCAAUCAUACACAAUAAAGCCAAACAAAGCCUAUAGAUGUGUGGCCACUGUGGGAACUGGGCCUGAAACGGGGAGCAGUACGCUCACAUGAUUUAGCUGGCACAUGUAUGAAGCCAUGACUCAGUAAUAUGCGCAUGGCUGGCUCAUUGUGCGGAGCUGCCAACAGGUACCUCAUUACAGAAAAGCUGCACAGGUUCAUUCUCGUAUUACCACACGGGCAGAACUGCCCUAGUGCAAAGACAUAUUCAUCCCGUGCAUUCUUUCACCCUAAUGCAAAAUGACAUUGAAAGAAUGUUUUUUUCUGCCUGUGUAAUAAUACUGUGCAAUAGUUUCUGAGAUGAGCUGAAGGUUGAGGGUUGAUGGAGCAAAGAUGGUCAGCAAGAAGGCCUGGCGAAUGCCUGUAGCCAAAUGGCUUUUUAAAAAAGCAGUGUGUAAAUCUAUCCGGAUGCAUUUGCUUCUGCAGUCCAAGUUCACCAAAGUCUUUGAUACGAAAAAGGUGGGUUUGGGGUGGCAGAAAUGUUGUUUUUCUCAAGUACACUUUGCAUCUUCCGAUCUCCGUUAACAUUGGUGAUUGAACUGCUAUUAAACAUUGAAAUGCAAUUAAGAUCCUGAAUAGGGUCUAUUGGACCCCGGGAAAAAUUAUGGAGGAGAGGUUUAAAGGAUGGUCCGGAAUGUUGGGCAUGUGUUCAGGAUAAUGGUACGAUGGAACAUAUGCUGUGGGAUUGUGUGAAGGUUCGUGGGUUUUGGAGUGAUGUCUGUGAAAUUUGUGUAGAAAUCCUGGAAGUGACCAUUGAUUUUAAUUUCGAGUCGUUAAUUCUGGGGAAUGACUCCAUCUUGGAUGACCUAUCACAGUGCCAAAAAAAAUGGUUAUUUAGAGGGGCUGCAGUGGGUAAGAAAAUGAUCCUUAGGAAUUGGAAAUCUGUUGCUGCAUUAGAAAAAGAAAUGUGGAUAAGUGAAAUGCGAGAUUUGGCAGCUAUGGAGGAACAUUUAUAUAGGAGACAAGGCAAAAAUGGUUUGUUUGCAAAGAUAUGGGGGAGAUUUUUGGAACUGUAUUGAAUUAGAUUUUGUAGGCAAUGAGAUGUGAACUGCGGGUUAGGGUGGGUUUCGUUUCUAUAGAUACUAUUGUUUUUGAUGUUUCUGUGAAUUUGUAUAUAAUUUUUGUAAAUAUGUUAUUGCUUUUUAAAAUUGAUGUCUUCUUUCUCUAAAUUGAAAAUAAAGUUUAAAAAAAAUAUAUAUAUUGAAAUGCUGGCAUGGUUUGCAAGAGUCACCGGACUGCUGAUGGCACGCGGCAUAAAGAAACAACAUUCUCUGCUUUAGCAAGGUGAGGUAGUAGGUUGUGUGGUUUCAGGGUAGUGAUUUUACCCCAUUAAGGUGUUAACUAUACAACCUACUGCCUUCCUUGUGGAGUAGAAUUUCUCCAGCCCCUGGAACCCAAAGAAUGAAGGCGACCUACCUCACCCAGCAGCAAAGCAAAUCUUAAGUGGGUGGAUUGUGCAUGUACUGUGAUCAUGGCAGCUUUGAAAGGGGACAAUGAAGAUGAUGGCGUUGCAAACUUCAGCACCUUCAUGACCUUUGGACCAUUCGGAUGUAUGCAGCUGCAAAUCUCAAUUCAAUAAAGCCUUUCCACACAAAUAAAAAAAAAAAAAA